UGUGCUUGGUGGGAGUGCUCAGUUUGCUUCAGCUUAUUGCUGCUUCUAGGAGGGCUUCUCCUUUCUGUCUCUGGGCAGGCUCUGCUCUGAUGCAGCAGUGGAUGGGGCAGCCAGGAUGGUGUGGGGCAGGAUCCAGUGCUACAACACAAGCCACAUCUCCUUCGUCACCAGAUCCUUUCCUCAAAGCAAGAGCUCUCCUCGUGUGCAGAAAGGGACCCACUUCAUCUGCUCACCGUGCAGUCAGGACACCAUGGGGUGUGGGAUGGACCCAUCCUGACCACCUGCAGCUGCUGGAGGAGGACAGAAACCACUGCGCCUGAUUGGCCCCGUGCACGCUGGGAACCACGGGAGGACGCAUGGCCUGCUGCCCAUCUGAAAUCCCGAACCGACUUCUUCUUUUCUUUCCCCACAAUAGAAGACAAAAAAACUCAAUUUUCAAGAAGUGCAUCAAGCCCUUAAUUGGGAUUUUAAUUCCUAAAUGGCAGUGGGUACAGCACAGCCUGGCUCCCCAGCUAAUGCAUCCGUGUUAUUAGAGAGCAGAUACCCUGUGAAUGGAGGAGGCCGCAGCAUUUGCAUAGCAAUGAGUGCUCUGGCAGCACGGGAACCGAGGUUGAUUUUCUUUUGCAGCUAAAAGCAGACCUGAGUGGUACUUAUUAAUUUGAGUCCACCUCUGAAUACACUUAACGAUUCAAGUCCAAUUAGUUUUCAGAGUGCCCAGGUAGGAAGUAAUCAUUAAAAACAUGUAAAUUAAGUUACUGGGGAGCUUAAUAGAUUAGUCAUUGACUUUGUAGCUUAUGUUGGCUCUUAACCUUCAGCUGAAAUUAAUCACCGACCAUUUCUCUGAACGGGUGCAGAAGGUCAGGCCCAGGGGCAUGGCACUGCAUGGACGGGAGCAGUUCUGGGGGGGCAGGAGGGGGUGGGGAACCUCCCUGCCAUGUCCCCCAGUGCCCCCUCCUCAGACACAGGCUGCAGACACUUCAGCUGUGGGCAGAGAGGAGCUGAGCUGGGGGCUGUCUGCCUGGGGGGCUUUGUCCCCAUAGCGUUUUGCUCUUCUGCAGCAUUGCAGAAGCAUUGCAGUCCAUUCAGUGGUCAUUACUGCGUUAACUUCUGCGCCGCGACGUCUAUUAUGAACGAGUACGAUGGGGAUUAAUCACUGAUAACUGCAAGCCUCGGUGCUUUCCCACCAACCUCUCUUUUGCUGGGCUGUUUUUCCCUCUGUGUAUCGCUACAUGAAGGGAAAACAUGUGCUAUUAUCAGUAAUAGCAUGCUCCCCAUCCCGGCCAGCUGAAUAAAUGAACCUGUUACAGCUGGAAUUAAUAAGAGUUAAUUGGAAAUCAUUAGGAGGCUCCGAGCCGAAGUGGGGUCUCCUGGGGCAGCAUGAGCCCCCGCUCUGCCCCAUGUCACCACCCCGUGUCACAGUGCACGGCGGAGGGGAGGAAGGAGGAAAUCUCUUCGAAGCAGAGAUCAGGCUGCGAGCGUUUGAAAAAGCUAUUUCUAAAAUUGCAAUUACCAGGAAAGAGAACAAAUUACCACUUCAGGGACGGUCGCACAUGGAGAAUCAGAGCUGUGGGAAAUAAUCAGAAGAAUGUAUUCACAGAAGUGCAUUAUUUAUAUUGAAACAUUUAAAAGUAAAGGUCACGAGGAGAAGCUGAAGAUUAGUAAUAGGGAAGUGGAAGGAUCACUUUAUGGCUAUAAUGAUUAUGGUCCGUUUUGAUUAUGGCCACAUUAGUCACGAUGCCUUAUAAGUCAGCGUGGAUUAGUGCUGGGGUAUCGGUGCUCAGGAGAUGGCGAGGUGAUGUGUCCUCCUGCUCCAUGUGCUGGGUUGCCAUCCAGCAAUGGCAGAGCCAGGGGCCGGGUGGCUGAGUUACACCAUGGGACUGACCCUAAAGAGUCCCCCGCAUCCUCUGCCUUUGGUCUCAAGGAGCUGGAUUCGCCCUGACAAAAUAUUUGCGGUUCGUAAGCGGUGGAAAUGAAUAGGAUUGAUUUACUGUGGCUGCAUCUCGAAGCAUGAAGUGGCACUUUUACGCUCGCAUCACCCCGUAGACAUCUGAAGGCAUCAGCGCGGCCCAUUGCGUUGCUGACGAGCUACAAAAGGCUGGGAAGGAGCCAUUCGACAUGCCCAAUCCGGGAGGUAUGACCGUGUGCUGCAAGUAAUGCAAAUGCAUCUAAAGCGUUCAAUCUGCUCGUUUCAGGCCCCAUUUUCUGCUGGAGUUGUGUCAAUGCGCUGCCGCAGAGCUAACAAGUGUUGCUCUGUAACUUCUUCAUGUCUCAGCUGUUGGAGAAGCACGUCCCGGCCAAACCAAGCCAUCUCCCUCCCUCUAUCCCGGGGCUCCCCUCAUUCCUCGCUGCAACUGCUUGCAGUUUUUAAUGGUAUGAAUCUGUCACUGAGUCCAGAAGGGGAAGAGCCCAGCUGUGUUUCUGCACCACCAUGGCCCCGUGUUGAGUGGCACCAGCACUGAUUUAUUAAUGAUGAGAUCCCACCGGCUCCCGGCUAUUGACAAAUGGCCGCAAUUACAGCCCCUUACGCCCCCUCCCCACAAUCGAUACCUUUUAAUCAAAUCCAAUCAGACUGAAUUUAAUUAAGGACAGCAGCAGAAAUAACUCUGAAGUGAAGGAACGGGAGUGAGCUGUGCCGGGAGGAGCAGCCGCAGAUCUGCAGCCAUGCAACUCCUCCCUGCGUGCAGAAGGUGAGCACUGGGGAGGAAGCUUCCCACCUCUCCCCAAGGUUUUUCCCGUUCCCAUGCAAACCAGCACUGCCAGCCUGCAUAGAACUAUUUUGGAAUACUCCUUAUCAUCGCUUCCACGCUCUCCUCUAACGCGUCCGUCGUGUUUACGCCGUUUCCGCAUUGUUCCUUGUGGCUCGCUCUAUUUAGCUGCUCAUGCUUCCACUAAGUUUCAGAGCUAUUUCUGAGUAUGAAUUAUUCUCUGACAUAAUUUUGCAGCAAUGGUUAUAUUUAGAGAGCUCUUCCAUUGGGCGAGGCUUUCUCAUUUUCCGUUUCGUUGGGUGAGCUCCUCUGAUUUCUGUAUUCCACAUUUCAGGCUUCAGCUGAUGUGCGCUAACUAAUUACACCAUGGGACGCCAGGCGAGGCAGGGCUCACGCUCCCUCUGUUUUUCGAGGUGAUAUUUAUUUGUGAUAAUGUGAAAGGCAGCAGUGGAGAGACACAUUCUCACGAGCGUGUGCAUGAUGACAACUGUAUUGACUUGCUCUAGAUAUAGGCUACAAAAGAGGUCUUCAUCAUGAAAAGAGAAGGGAUGUUGCAGAGGACUGUGCUCUGCACCCCAGCAGAGCCCUGGGGCUUUGAUGUCCCCAGGUGCACGUGGUGUUCCCUCCCCAGUUCUGAGCUCUGCUGCCUGCUCUGCCUGCCCGGGGGAGAGCCGACAAGCAAAGCCAGGUGCAGAGCGCUGUGUUCCUCCUCUGUGCAUCUU